rnacentral:rRNA from 1 species
AACGAACGCUGGCGGCAGGCCUAACACAUGCAAGUCGAACGCUCUAGCAGUAGAGAGUGGCGCACGGGUGCGUAACGCGUGGGAAUAUGCCCUUGACUACGGAACAACGUCGGGAAACUGACGCUAAUACCGUAUAAUGUCUUCGGACCAAGGAUUUAUCGGACAAGGAUUAGCCCGCGUCUGAUUAGCUAGUUGGUGAGGUAACGGCUCACCAAGGCGACGAUCAGUAGCUGGUCUGAGAGGAUGAUCAGCCACACUGGGACUGAGACACGGCCCAGACUCCUACGGGAGGCAGCAGUGAGGAAUAUUGGACAAUGGAGGCAACUCUGAUCCAGCCAUGCCGCGUGAGUGACGAGGGCCUUCGGGUUGUAAAGCUCUUUCAGAUGCGAAGAUAAUGACGGUAACAUCAGAAGAAGCCCCGGCUAAAUUCGUGCCAGCCGCCGCGGUAA